GACGAACGCUGGCGGCGUGCCUAAUACAUGCAAGUCGAACGCUUUUUCUUUCACCGGAGCUUGUUCCACCGAAAGAAAAAGAGUGGCGAACGGGUGAGUAACACGUGGGUAACCUGCCCAUCAGAAGGGGGUAACACUUGGAAACAGGUGCUAAUACCGUAUAACACUAUUUUCCGCAUGGAAGAAAAUUGAAAGGAGCUUUUGCGUCACUGAUGGAUGGACCCGCGGUGCAUUAGCUAGUUGGUGAGGUAACGGCUCACCAAGGCAACGAUGCAGAGCCGACCUGAGAGGGGGAUCGGCCACACUGGGACUGAGACACGGCCCAGACUCCUACGGGAGGUAGCAGUAGGGAAUCUUCGGCAAUGGACGAAAGUCUGACCGAGCAACGCCGCGUGAGUGAAGAAGGUUUUCGGAUCGUAAAACUCUGUUGUUAGAGAAGAACAAGGAUGAGAGUAAAACGUUCAUCCCUUGACGGUAUCUAACCAGAAAGCCACGGCUAACUACGUGCCAGCAGCCGCCGUAA
rnacentral:rRNA from 1 species